GUGGGGAAUAUUGGACAAUGGGGGCAACCCUGAUCCAGCAAUGCCGCGUGUGUGAAGAAGGUCUUCGGAUUGUAAAGCACUUUCGACGGGGACGAUGAUGACGGUACCCGUAGAAGAAGCCCCGGCUAACUUCGUGCCAGCAGCCGCGGUAAUACGAAGGGGGCUAGCGUUGCUCGGAAUGACUGGGCGUAAAGGGCGUGUAGGCGGUUUACACAGUCAGAUGUGAAAUCCCCGGGCUUAACCUGGGAGCUGCAUUUGAUACGUGUAGACUAGAGUGUGAGAGAGGGUUGUGGAAUUCCCAGUGUAGAGGUGAAAUUCGUAGAUAUUGGGAAGAACACCGGUGGCGAAGGCGGCAACCUGGCUCAUGACUGACGCUGAGGCGCGAAAGCGUGGGGAGCAAACAGGAUUAGAUACCCUGGUAGUCCACGCUGUAAACGAUGUGUGCUAGAUGUUGGGUAACUUUGUUAUUCAGUGUCGCAGUUAACGCGUUAAGCACACCGCCUGGGGAGUACGGCCGCAAGGUUGAAAC
rnacentral:rRNA from 1 species